CCUCCUCUUCUGUGGGAUUCCCUGAGCUCUGAGAGGAGGGGUUUGACUGAGGUCUCCAGUUUAGACUUUCUCUCUGUGCAAUGUCUGUCUGUGGGGCUCUGUGUUUGCUCCUAUCUGCUGCUGGAGGAAGCCUGUCUGGUUAUGGAAACAGGAUCAACGUUUCCAGGCUUCCAAAGUUGACUGAGGUCCAGCGACUCUCCAGGAAUACUCCAGGUCUUUGGACAGAUUGGAAGAGCUGAGCUACCCACCCUGCCUCAAGGACAGAGCAGAGACUUGCCAUUACUAUUUUGACUUAAGCUAAUUUAAUAAGUUCUUUGUGUCUUGUUCUCCUAGUAAACUUUGAUUAAGGC
ensembl:lincRNA